rnacentral:rRNA from 1 species
AGACGUCUACAUUAGAUACCCUCGUAGUCCCAGCCGUAAACUAUGCGCGUUAGGUGUAUCGGUGACCACGAGUCACCGAGGUGCCGAAGGGAAACCGUGAAACGUGCCGCCUGGGAAGUACGGUCGCAAGGCUGAAACUUAAAGGAAUUGGCGGGAGCACCACAACAGGUGGAGCCUGCGGUUUAAUUGGACUCAACGCCGGGAAGCUCACCGGAUAGGACAGCAGAAUGAUUGCCGGGCUGAAGACCCUGCAUGACUAGCUG